rnacentral:rRNA from 1 species
UACGGAGGGUGCGAGCGUUGUCCGGAAUCACUGGGCGUAAAGGGCGCGUAGGCGGCCUGAUAAGUAGGGGGUGAAAUCCUGCGGCUUAACCGCAGGGCUGCCUUCUAAACUGUCAGGCUCGAGCACAGUAGAGGCAGGUGGAAUUCCCGGUGUAGCGGUGGAAUACGUAGAGAUCGGGAAGAACAUCAGUGGCGAAGGCGGCCUGCUGGGCUGUUGCUGACGCUGAGGCGCGACAGCGUGGGGAGCAAACGAGG